rnacentral:lncRNA from 1 species
AAAAUUCCCAAAAUCUUCUCGACGUGCUCUAUGCUCAUCAGUCCAUAGUCGUCACCACUUGCCUCAGUGUCGUCUUCCUCAAGUCAGUGGCCACUCGCCUCCGGCCUUCUGUGCCUGUAACAGCCUAUUCCUCGCCAGUCACCUGACUCGCCUCCUCUGACCACCGGUUCCCAAAAUCUUUGAGAAGUCGUUCGAAUAGCUCUUCUUCAACUCUUCUGCUCUGGACUUUUGACUUGGCUUCUUAGGGUCAUUUCUAAUCUAAACUUCCUUUUGCAUUUGGAUGGGUUACAUGG